rnacentral:rRNA from 1 species
CGUUCAGGGGUAAACCUGUGAAACUCGAAUGAACGAACGGGGAGAUUCAUCGUCAUUCGACGGACGGCGCAGGCGUCGCUCGAUGUGCGGCCCUCCGGCGGCUUCGGUCGUCCGGUGUGAGCUGCUCACGGGCGCGUCUGUGCAGUCAGUCCGUCGACGGCGUGCACUUCUCCCUUAGUAAUGCAUCGCGACCCGCUCGAUACCGAUCUACGCCCCUCAGUCUGCGGGAGCCCGCGGUGUGUGUGCAAACACGUGCCGCGGACCGUGACACGGUGGCCGACCGGUUUUCGGGCGGUAUAAUGCAAUGAAUCACGCACGCGCUAGUCGCGUCCGGCCCGACGCAAGGUCGUCGCGAAGCUGCCGCUGCGCCCGAGUGCGCGCGAUCGGCUUCCGGCGCCUGCUCAUCGCAGCCGUGUGCCGUCUCGGACGUGCGUGUAUCUAGUCAUGCGAUGUUUUUGUUUCGGGCACUCACAGGACCCGUCUUGAAACACGGACCAAGGAGUCUAGCAUGUGUGCGAGUCACUAGGUGAUUAAAACCGAAAGGCGCAACGAAAGUAAAGGUGCGCGCUUGACGCGCGCGCUCGGGGAGGAUGGUGAACGGCUCACGAGGCCGCCGCCCGCACUCCCGAGGCGUCCCGUUCGCAAUUUGUCGAUGUGGGCGCGCUCAGAGCACAGAUGCUGGGACCCGAAAGAUGGUGAACUAUGCCUGGUCAGGUCGAAGUCAGGGGAAACCCUGAUGGAGGACCGUAGCGAUUCUGACGUGCAAAUCGAUCGUCGGAACUGGGUAUAGGGGCGAAAGACUAAUCGAACCAUC